UACGGAGGGUGCAAGCGUUAUCCGGAUUCACUGGGUUUAAAGGGUGCGUAGGCGGGUAAGUAAGUCCGUGGUGAAAUCUCUGAGCUUAACUCAGAAACUGCCGUGGAUACUAUUUGUCUUGAAUGUUGUGGAGGUGAGCGGAAUAUGUCAUGUAGCGGUGAAAUGCUUAGAUAUGACACAGAACACCGAUUGCGAAGGCAGCUCACUAAGCUAUAACUGACGCUGAUGCACGAAAGCGUGGGGAGCAAACAGG
rnacentral:rRNA from 1 species